rnacentral:rRNA from 1 species
CCUACGGGGCGCAGCAGUGAGGAAUAUUGGUCAAUGGUCGGGAGACUGAACCAGCCAAGCCGCGUGAGGGAUGACGGUACAGAGUAUCGUAAACCUCUUUUGUCAGGGAACAAAGGCGGGGACGUGUCCCCGGAUGAGUGUACCUGAAGAAAAAGCAUCGGCUAACUCCGUGCCAGCAGCCGCGGUAAUACGGAGGAUGCGAUCGUUAUCCGGAUUUAUUGGGUUUAAAGGGUGCGCAGGCGGUAUGUUAAGUCAGCGGUAAAAUCCCGGGGCUCAACCCCGGCCAGCCGUUGAAACUGGCAGUCGCGAGUUGGAGAGAAGUAUGCGGAAUGCGCGGUGUAGCGGUGAAAUGCAUAGAUAUCACGCAGAACUCCGAUUGCGAAGGCAGCAUACCGGCGCCCAACUGACGCUCAUGCACGAAAGCGUGGGUAUCGAACAGGAUUAGAUACCCCAGUAGUA